AUUGAACGCUGGCGGCAGGCCUAACACAUGCAAGUCGAGCGAGUGGCGGACGGGUGAGUAAUGUCUGGGAAACUGCCCGAUGGAGGGGGCUAACUACUGGAAACGGUAGCUAAUACCGCAUACCAUCGGAUGUGCCCAGAUGGGAUUAGCUAGUAGGUGGGGUAACGGCUCACCUGGGCGACGAACCCUAGCUGGUCUGAGAGGAUGACCAGCCACACUGGAACUGAGACACGGUCCAGACUCCUACGUGAGGCAGCAGUGGGGAAUCUUGCCCAAUGGGCGAAAGCUUGAUGCAGCCAUGCCGCGUGUAUGAAGAAGGCCUUCGGGUUGUAAAGUACUUUCAGCGAGGAGGCGUUACUCGCAGAAGAAGCACCGGCUAACUCCGUGCCAGCAGCCGCGGUAAUUC
rnacentral:rRNA from 1 species